CUCCAGGCGUCGAGCGGCGGACGGGUGAGUAAUGCAUAGGAAUCUGCCCGGUAGUGGGGGAUAACCUGGGGAAACCCAGGCUAAUACCGCAUACGUCCUACGGGAGAAAGCAGGGGAUCUUCGGACCUUGCGCUAUCGGAUGAGCCUAUGUCGGAUUAGCUUGUUGGUGAGGUAAUGGCUCACCAAGGCGACGAUCCGUAGCUGGUCUGAGAGGAUGAUCAGCCACAUCGGGACUGAGACACGGCCCGAACUCCUACGGGAGGCAGCAGUGGGGAAUAUUGGACAAUGGGCGAAAGCCUGAUCCAGCCAUGCCGCGUGUGUGAAGAAGGCUUUCGGGUUGUAAAGCACUUUCAGUGAGGAAGAAGGCCUUGGGGCUAAUACCCCCGAGGAAGGACAUCACUCACAGAAGAAGCACCGGCUAACUCCGUGCCAGCAGCCGCGGUAAUACGGAGGGUGCGAGCGUUAAUCGGAAUUACUGGGCGUAAAGCGCGCGUAGGCGGCGUGAUAAGCCGGUUGUGAAAGCCCCGGGCUCAACCUGGGAACGGCAUCCGGAACUGUCAGGCUAGAGUGCAGGAGAGGAAGGUAGAAUUCCCGGUGUAGCGGUGAAAUGCGUAGAGAUCGGGAGGAAUACCAGUGGCGAAGGCGGCCUUCUGGACUGACACUGACGCUGAGGUGCGAAAGCGUGGGUAGCAAACAGGAUUAGAUACCCUGGUAGUCCACGCCGUAAACGAUGUCGACUAGCCGUUGGGGUCCUU
rnacentral:rRNA from 1 species